rnacentral:rRNA from 1 species
GAUGAACGCUGGCGGCGUGCCUAAUACAUGCAAGUCGAGCGAAUGGAUUAAGAGCUUGCUCUUAUGAAGUUAGCGGCGGACGGGUGAGUAACACGUGGGUAACCUGCCCAUAAGACUGGGAUAACUCCGGGAAACCGGGGCUAAUACCGGAUAAUAUUUUGAACUGCAUGGUUCAAAAUUGAAAGGCGGCUUCGGCUGUCACUUGUGGAUGGACCCGCGUCGCAUUAGCUAGUUGGUGAGGUAACGGCUCACCAAGGCAACGAUGCGUAGCCGGCCUGGGAGGGUUGUAGGCCACACUGGGACUGAGACACGGCCCAGACACCUACGGGAGGCAGCAGUAGGGAAUCUUCCGCAAUGGACGAAAGUCUGACGGAGCAACGCCGCGUGAGUGAUGAAGGCUUUCGGGUCGUAAAACUCUGUUGUUAGGGAAGAACAAGUGCUAGUUGAAUAAGCUGGCACCUUGACGGUACCUAACCAGAAAGCCACGGCUAACUACGUGCCAGCAGCCGCGGUAA